GCCAGUGUGGCACAGUGGUUUCAGUCUUGGACUGUGACUCUGGAGACCAGGGUUCAACUCCCAGCUUGACC
rnacentral:tRNA from 1 species